AGGGGGUACUGUAAGUACGUA
rnacentral:miRNA from 1 species